rnacentral:lncRNA from 1 species
AUUUUUCUUCAUCUGAUUUUUAUUUUUUCACAUUUUAUUUCACUAAUUUUCUAUUUUCCAUGAAUUUUCUCUUUUCUCCUUUGUUUUAAUUGGUUAAAAAAGUACUUUUCUAUAUUUUUAAAUUCUGAAAAUUUUAUUAUAUGCUUCUUAUUUUAUUUCUAACCUUCCGUAAUUGUGUUGGCCAUUUAAUUGGUGUUUGAAGGACUUUAUGGAUUUUUCAUUUUAUUUCAAUU